GUAGUCCAUGCCGUAAACGAUGGAUGCUAGCUAUUUGGCGGUAUCGACCCCGUCAGAAGCGAAGCUAACGCGUUAAGCAUCCCGCCUGAGUAGUACGAGCGCAAGCUUAAAACUCAAAGGAAUUGACGGGGACCCGCACAAGCGGUGGAGCGUGUGGUUUAAUUCGAUGAUAAGCGAAGAACCUUACCAAGGUUUGACAUCCUCAGAAGGCUUCCGAAAGGAAACUGUGCCCUCGGGAACUGAGUGACAGGUGAUGCAUGGCCGUCGUCAGCUCGUGUCGUGAGAUGUUGGGUUAAGUCCCGCAACGAGCGCAACCCUUAUGUUUAGUUGAAUUUUUCUAAACAGACUGCCCUGGUAACAGGGAGGAAGGAGGGGAUGAUGUCAGGUCAGUAUUUCCCUUACACCUUGGGCUACACACGCGCUACAAUGGCCGGUACAAUGGGCAGCCAACCCGCAAGGGGGAGCAAAUCCCAUCAAAGCCGGUCCCAAUUCGGAUCGGGGGCUGAAACUCGCCCCCGUGAAGCCGGAAUCGCUAGUAACCAGCAGGUCAGCACACUGCGGUGAAUACGUUCUCGGGUCUUGUACACACCGCCCGUCAAGCCAUGAAAGUCGGGAGCACCCGAAGUCCGAGCUUUAGCUCGGCCUAAGGUGAAUUCGAUGAUUGGGGUU
rnacentral:rRNA from 1 species